GUUAAACAUGAAGAGGCUGUGGCUUUGGGGUUGAGCCCCAAGUUAGAAGUUCUUGAGAACCACCCAAGAUUUGACUCUACAGUGGGCUAACUCUGUGACCUUGGGUUCAAUAAGGUGAUGCCAGGGGAAGUGGCUUUGCAAACUGUAAAGUGCAGAAGAAAUGACAGUCUCCUAAGUGGCCUUUCUGUUGCAUGAGGACAGUGCCGUGGUUGUUUAAUAUCAUUGGGAAUGGGACCCCACAAACUGAGGUGCCUGCUCCCUACUGUCAAGGGGAGCUUGGAAGCUACCUGAUGGCCUGUGAGAUGAAAUGACAGACAUCAGAUGGGACAAUGCCAGACUUCCACAUUCAGAACCCAGCAUCCUGGGCCUCUGGGGACUGUUUUUAUGAUCCUGGUAUGUUUUAGGAGACCAGGUGAUUGAUUUUUGCAGUUUAGUAAUUACCUGGGAUGAUUGCCCAGUGUCCCAGAUUUCCUUUCUGGCUUCCUUUCACGAUGAAUCCUGGUCUCCUUUAGCCCAUGAAAUCUCCCCCUCCCUUUGGGAAACAUUGACAGAGUUUGAAUGUGGGGGUAUACACUCAUGGACUAAAAGCAUAUGGACCCACAGAAUUUUAAAGCUAGAAGGAAUCUCCGAUACAUGCCCAGGCUCCAUUGACCAGUGUGCGGAUUAGGGAACUGGCCAAAGCUACAAAAGUAGAAGUGACUUCUCAGGGUAUACAACAGGUUAGUGGUGAAGUGGGGUCCAGAGCCCAGGUUGCCAGGUUGCCUGAUGUGCCGUUUUGUACUGUCUUGGUGCUUCUUGUCCCCCUUUCCUUCUCCUGAUUACCAUUCAAACAAUACUUGCUUGGCUAGUACAGUCACUGGACUCUGCUUCCAACUCCUGCUUCUCCAGGCCUUCCAGAAUCCACUGAAAGUGAGAUGGAAACAACCAUUUAGAAAAUGGAUCCUAGAUUUCCACUCAUUCGUGUCACCCUCAUCCCCCCCCACUCCAAAUUCCAGUGAAGUCUGAUCCAAAACUACUUACUCCUCUGUUUCCAGGGCCCCAAAAGAGCCCUCUAGGCCUGUUUUCUCCUGUUCUGCACAUUUCCUUUUCUGUACAUACUC